rnacentral:rRNA from 1 species
AUUGAACGCUGGCGGCAGGCCUAACACAUGCAAGUCGAGCGAGCGGCGGACGGGUGAGUAAUGUCUGGGAAACUGCCUGAUGGAGGGGGAUAACUACUGGAAACGGUAGCUAAUACCGCAUACCAUCAGAUGUGCCCAGAUGGGAUUAGCUAGUAGGUGGGGUAACGGCUCACCUAGGCGACGCUCCCUAGCUGGGCUGAGAGGAUGACCAGCACCAGUGGAACUGGUGCACGGUCCAGACUCCUACGGGAGGAAGGGGUGGGGAAGAUUGCACAAUGGGCACAAGCCUGAUGCAGCCAUGCCGCGUGUGUGAAGAAGGCCUUCGGGUUGUAAAGCACUUUCAGCGGGGAGGCGUUACCCGCAGAAGAAGCACCGGCUAACUCCGUGCCAGCAGCCGCGGUAAUUC